CUGAACUUCAAGAACAAGUGUGUCUGGUUUGAUAGAGGUUCGAAUCGAAAAAUCUUUGAAGGUAGUCAAGAUGGCAUCGUUUCUGAUUAUCUUGAUCUUCUGAUGGAUAGUGGAUGGGACAACCCGCAACAGGUGCUGCAGCCACAGUCUUCCCCGCAAUCGGUUAAAAGUGGACAACAUGUUCAACACUUGAAAUUCC
rnacentral:lncRNA from 1 species